CGUGCGCUGCACGCAUGGUGUGAUGGCAGGCAGCAGCGUGGUCCUGGACCCUGAAGCUGCCGGUUUCUGGCCAUCAGUUAGGGCUCUGGCUGCAGCUGGGAGCUGGGCCGGGGCUGGGGGAGGCAGAGGGUGGUAAUAAAGAAACAACAGGAAGCUCAGCUUUUAUUAGCGCUGGGUAGUCGCAGCUGCAGGUGCCUCUUUGUCCUCAAGGGUCAAAGAUUCGUCAAGAACCUAACUAGUUUUAGCCGGUGAGUUUCUGAGCCCCAUGAGAAGGACCACUUGGCAUUCACUUUCUCUGGAGAAGCCCACCACAUCCGGCCUCGUUGGCAUAAGGGUGGAGAGAUCGAUCCUACCCUCAGGGGGGUUCACCGUCCAGUUAGCCAAGAGGCAACGGUGUGGUGGGAGCACUGAGGGGUUGGGGAGUGCACUUCCUAGGGGUAGGGUAGGAGGAUACAGGGAGGAGGACUUCUUUGAGGAAUGGUUGGAGUUCAGGGGAGAAGGGGACGCACAUUCCGGGCAGACUCUUCUAGCAGAAGAGUCUGGGGACAAGAAAGUAUGUAGUGUGUUCAGGGAAAGGGCAUGAAAUGUGUCUGAGAUGCAGGGUGGGAAGAGAGGGGUGAGGGAGGGAGGAAACAGGGCAGGGCUUUCAGUCCACCAUAGGGAGUGUGAAUUCUCCUGAGGUUGAUGGGGAACCCUGCAGGGUUCGAAGCAGGGGAGCGAUGUCAUCAGGUGUGGGUUCUAGAGAGAUCGCUGUGGCAGUAGGUAGAGAGGACAGAUAAAAGGAAGGAAAAAGAGAGGACUGAUUGAAGUUGUCGCAGUGAGUUGAAGGUGGUCUAAACGAAGGCAAUGGCAAAGGAGCAGGGGAGGGGGACAGAUGGGAGAGAGUUUUCUGCAACAGAACAGCAGUACUUACAGCGGAACAGUUUGGGGGAGAGAAGGUAAGGACAACUGAAUUUUCUGGCUCUGGAACCUGAGGUAGACAGCAUUAAUUGGGAUGGGGGACCCAGGAAAGGAGCAGGGUGAGGUCACCUUCAGGGUACCUGUCGGACAUCCAUUUCUUCAAGAGCUCUCUGUGCUAGGCCCCCGGAUGUGGGAGUAGAUAAGACCCAACCUCAUCCACAGGAGGCUAGAGGGAGAGAGAAGAGAGAAUAUUGUAUUAGGAAGCUUCGGUUGUAAGCGACAGAAACUCAGUUCAAACCAGGCUAAGGGGGGGAAAAUUGAAAAGGAAAAGGAGAGAUCGAGAAUUUAGUGGUUCCUUUACCUUGGAGUUUCAAGGGCAUGUCAACUUCAGGCGUUGCUGGAUCCAGGGUUCCUAAUAGCAUGGAGAGGAAGUUUCUACCCUCAGGGGGCUCCUUGUGUUAUCUCCCCUCCACCCCAUCAGUCAGUUCUGUUUGUUUCCGCCUGUCUUUAAGAAUGGGCCUCUUUCUAGCCCACGGCAGACGGCAGACGGGCCCUCUCCAGUCCCAGGAAGGAUGCUCACAUGUCCACACACUGUCAGCUCACACUUCAGAAGGAAAGGCCAGUGGCCCUACUGGCUGUGUGGACGGACAGUCCCAGGAAGGGCUCUGAUUGACCCAGUCGGCAUCACACGCCCAGCCCCCGCCCAGUCACUGUACCAAGGAGAAUGUGGCACUGUGGUUGGCCUCCUUGCCCCUCCCAGCUUGUAGGGCCCUGUGAUGGACAUCCCGCCGGCCCCCAUGGACAGGAAAUGAGAAGGACUGGGAAUACGCCAGAUCGGCACGACGAACUACAUCCCUGCCUCCGUUCAGCCCGAGGCUUGAGGGCAGAACCCUGGGGAACACCGAUGUUGAACAGAACUUGGGAAGGAGACUGAGGAGUAUGAGAGGGGUUCUGGGUCUUCAAGGCAGGAGAGAAGUCCUGCAAGGAAGGAACGGGCAGAGGCAAAUUCUGGAAGGGGCGACAGGCUCCUACUGUUCUGGGCUCCACCCACCCAAGCGGAAAGGCCCUCCCCCCCCCCCCCCAUUCAGCCAAUACAGGUGCUACCCCCUGCCCCCAGCAGAGCCUGUUUCCCUAUUUGGGAAAUGAGGAUUCCAACAGAACACUCCCCCCAGCCGUGGCUGAGGGGCAUGAGUGAGCUGGCCCUGAGAAAUGCUUACCUCGGUGCCUGGCACCUGGUAGGGGCUCAAUAAGUGGGAGCCACGUAAGGUGCUGGUGGAAGAUACGGCGGUAAUAAAGGCCCGCAGAUUCCUGCUGUCCUGGGAGGGCGGAAAGUCCAGCUAAUAAAUUCAGCAUCACUGAGAUACCGUUCAUUCAUUCAGUCAGUCAGUCUUUAAUGGAGCGCCUGCUGUAUACCGGUCCCUAUGCGAGACACAGCAGAUGGCAAGAAGGCUAGAACACAAGAGUCUGAGGUAGUGUGGGACAGACACAGCUAAUAGUUAGGCCGUGAGGUCAUAAGCACCAUAGGGACUGGGCUGUCGGAGCCCAGAGAAACUCGGUCCUGUGGAGGCACAAGGGCAGCGCCCCAAGGAGGCAGAAUUUGACCUGGGUCUGAAGGAUGCUGGUGAAGGACAGAAACAGCUGACAUUUCACGAGUGCUCAUAGUGGGUCGGGCACUAAGUGUGCCAAACAUCUAUUUCCACGCAUGAGGUAGGGAGCGUUGUCCCUGUUACGUGGAUGGGGGCGGGGGGCCCAGGCUUGCUCAGAGUCCCUUGCUUGUAAGUGGGGGCACCGGGCCUGGCCCAGGGGCCUGACCCCACUGGAUGGAGGAGAGAGGAGAGAUAGGAGGUCAGGCAGAGGGGAAAAAGACUGUGCGACCCAACCGUCCGGGAGGGAGAGAGGGAGCCAGGAUUCCCGCGCAGGGAACGUCACGCCUCUGAGAGUGUGGGGCAGGGACGGCAGAACAAACGUAAGGUGGGAGCCGUGACCUCCAGCAAGUGUGGCGCCUCCUGGAACCUACCUCUCCUUAUUUGUCAAAUGGGAUAAGGAAGUCUGUUAUCUUCAUCCCCAUUUUACAGAUGAGGAAACUGAUUGUUAGGUCGAGGCCGUCUGGCUGCAGGGCCCACAUGCUAAGCCACAACACCGUGGUUCUGUUGGAGCCGAUGAGCUGUGAGAGUUCACUGCAAACCCUCCUCUCUGCCUCAAGGGUAGCCAUGAAGAGCACCCCAAGGGAAGUGGGGAGCCUCCACAGGAAGAGCCCUCAGAGGACCCCAGAAGACAGUCCUGUGCUCUUCUGCAGAAAUCCGAUCUCUUAAGGCCCUUAGAGACUAUUUCAUUCAUGCAUCGGGGGGAUGACGCAUGUAACUUACAAAUAAGGAAACAGCCCAGAAAGAGGGAAGUGACUGGUCCAAGGCCACACAACGAGCUGGUCGCGGAGAGCCAUCUAGAACGCAGGUUGCCUGACACCUGGUCCUGUGCUCUUUCUCCAUUCCAAAGUCCUCUCGUCACAAAUGACCUCUCCUCUGCCUACAGGGCGGCAAUCUCUCCCAGUGCUGAACACCUAGUGCGGACCAGGCACUUCAUCUGCCUGUCUCUGGUCUUCCAGACUUCCCUGUGAAGUAUUAUCCAGGGCAGCCAGGAGACCCAGGAGUACGCACAGAUAAGACCUGGUUUACUGAUAGCACAUUACAAAGCGUACCGAGUAAUCGUCCAUCCAGACUCCCCCGCCCUAUAAAUCAUACAAUCCGAUUUCACAGAAGAGAGAACCGAGGUUCAGAGACGGGAAAAGUCUGCCUCAGGGGCUCCCAGCUAGGAGGCAACAGGGUGAGGAGGACUGGUGUGCGGGCAUUUCUGACUCCAAAGCCAGGGUGCCUUGUCCCCGCCCCAAUCUGCCGUCAGGUAAAAAAUGGCAGGACUUGCCGAGGGAGCUGAAGGGUGACGCCUGGAGGGGCCGAUCCCCGAUGAUGAGCGAGGUGACAGUUCUCACAGUGGCUAAACAAAGAGCCCUUGCAGUCCGGCUGCCUGGGUUCGAGUUUUGUUCUGUCCCUUCUUAGUUCUGUGCCCUCAGGCAAGCCACUGGUCCUCCCUGAGCCUCAGUUUCCUCGUCUGUAAAAUGGGGAUGGUAAUAAUGUUGCCCACCUCGUUGUGUUGUUGGAGGGUUAAAUUAGAAGCGUGUGGCAAGCACAGUGAAAGUCUUGCCUCUUAUUUGCUGGCACCUUGUAUGACAUUUGGUAGAGGCCUCCUGUCUCGUCUACUAUUAAUACUGCCUUUAUAGCACUGCGUGUUCCGGAGCCUGGCCACCUGGGCUCUGCCACUUGCUAGCUGUGCGGUCUAGAGCUUAGAGGGAGACUGAAGGUCAGGCUCAUGAAGUUUAAGCCUUGGGUCGCUCCCUUGCGAGGCCUUGUGCAUCAUUUUGUAUUCAUAAUUUCCUAUUAUUUUUCUGAACGGGGUUCCCCAGUGUGGUAUACGCUCUACUCACAUCCUGCAACAUGUGGAUCCGCCCCUGUGUGCGCAACACGCUCGGCCUCUCCGGUGCCUCAGUUUUCUCAUCUGUGAAGUGGAAAGAGUGUUACGGUGCUGAUGAAGUGAAUGAAUCCGUUUAGGACGCUUGAAAGGUGCCUGGCACGUUGUUAAUUCCCCGAUAGCUGUCGGCUUCUCAAGUAAAUCUCCAGCUAGUGAACAUGCUAAGUGCUAGUAAAUGUGCUUCGUGGUUUACAUUGGUCAUGUUAUUUAAUUAUGCUUAAUUGUCACAACAACCCCUCCCAUUUUACAGGUGAGAAAACAGAGGCUCGGAGAGGUGAGGUCACAGAGCUUGGAAGCCACAUGGGUCUGAUGCCAGGGCCGUGCCCCUUAACUAUUGCCCUGACACCUCCCCGUUUAUGAGGGGCGCCUGGCACCUGAACCUGAAGGACUCGGGUCACACCGCAGCCAGGCACUGCCUGCCAGGCCACUUGCAGGGAAUCCAUGAGGCCCCUGCCCGGGGAAGAGCUCCCCGUCCCCCCCAAGUCCAGCUGGGCCCCCCUGGCUCUGCCACACCUAGUGCCCCCGUCCCUCCUGCCCCCUAGAGCUUCCUCUUGAGCCCCUGUCACCAGAGGCCCUGGCCCAGGUGGGGCGGGGGCCAACGGGUGACAAUGACCGAUUUAGAAAGUAAAGUUGCUUCUCAAACAAAUAAGAAAGAAGAGGAAAGAAAGAAAUGGCCUGCCCGCUUCCUGCCCCACUCUCUCUCCCAGCACCUGGGGCCCAGCUGUGAGCUUUUCACUGCUUGUUUGUUCAUCCUGCUCGAGGAGCCUCUUCUUAAAGCUCCAGGCCCCCUCCACGGGGGCGGCGGGAUGACUGUGGAGCCAAUGGAAAUAAGCACCCUCCGUGAUUGUUGUAUUGUCGCCGUCUGGAGUAUUGUUUUGGACAACAAUACCAAUAAUCAUAACAAUCUGGGUUUCCUGCAGUUGGCAGAGGGGGGUUAUCGGCUUCGACUUGGGUGUGGCCGUCCUGGCUGCGAUUUCUGAGGUGUGAAGGCCUGCGCAGGUCAUUAGCUCUCUCUGGGCCUCCGUUUCCUUGCCUGCAAGGUGGGAAUGGGGGCAUGGUGAGCGCCGGAGGAGGCAAGCAAGAGCGCGUACCACGCAGGGCGCGGCCGCUGCUCAGUCGGUCACCAAAGCCAGGGUCACCCAAGAGCACGACUUUAAGAGCCUCCCCAGCCGUGGUGGGAAAACUCAGGGGACUAGGAGGGGGUGAUAACGCCUGUUGUGUUCUAGCCUCCGUUGUAAGGGCUUUAUGUACAACAACUCACUUCAUCCUCACCACGCCGCGUGCGUGCAUACUGUCAGAUGAAGACACCCAAGAGUGAUUUGCCCAAGGUCGGUGCAUCCGGCAGGUGCAGAGCCAGGACGAGCCCAGCCUGUCCCGCUCCAAAACCGGCGCUCUUCUUAGGGGCAUACGCUGCCCCGGGGGCAGGUCUGGCUGCCUAGGGUCUGCUUUGCUGCGUCACCGUGGACAAGCCCUUUCCUUCUCAGCCUCAGUUCUUGAUCUGCAAGCUGAACAGCCCACGGUACCUGCCUCCAGACAGCAUACAGCCCGCAGGGAAAGUCAUGGUCAGAUUUAGUGACAGUGUAGAGAAAGACAAUGGAUGAACAUAUCAGGGGCUCUGGAAGCCACGGCUGCCGCUGCCAUAAUUAUUAUUAGUUUUAGAGUCACAGGCGAGAGUCAGCCUAGAGGAUGCUGAGGGCGCUGCCCAGCUCUGCAAAUCUAAACCCUGUGGUUGCAGCUGGGGAGUGACUCUAGGAGGCACCUGGUGAGAGGUGGCUCUACCCGUUGGGGCUAAAAUAAUCCCUGAGGCUGCCGCCAUGCAAUCUGUCACUCACCUGCCCUAAUUAAUGGCAAACUCACCAACCCUGCCUCUCCGCCUCACUCCCAUCCCCCACGAGCUGUGUGGCCCUGGAGAAAUCACUCGACCUCUCUGAGACAGGAAAAGGACAUGACCCUGCAGAAUUUUGAUGGAUUAGAGAUAAUGCAGACAGAGUACUCAGCACAGUGCCUGACGUGUGGUUGAGAAGAGGUGAUGAGAGCCUGAGUUUGGGGGCCGACCCGUGUUCCAUUCCCGGCUACACCAUUUCCUACUGUGUACCCUCGGGCAAGUUCCUUGCACUCUCUGAGCCUGGAAAAUGGGUUAGCACAGCACCCGGCAUACAGUAGUUGUUUACCUAACGAUUGUGGUUGGUGGUGACCGUGUCUGGCCCUCUAUAAAGAUGUCCAGAGGCCUUCAAAGAUCCCAGGGGUAUAAUGUUCUCCACAGUGCUGGCUUUCUCUGUUUGCCCCUCUAGAACUCCCCGCUGCCCUUCUUCAUCCUGUUCUGUGCCCUGGCAGGUGAACUCUGGGAUGCCAUCAGUGGCCUCUUUUGCCCUCUAGUUCUGGUUGGGUGGGGCAGGAAGGCAGAGGGCAGGUGGAGAAUGGGGCAGAGUGAUUCCCCCAGCCCCUUGCUACAGGGUUGCACGGGUUGGCUGUGUCCCUGACCCAAAGGCUCUGGCUCCUGGUAGGCGACCCCGUGCAUCCAUCUCUGGCCCUGAGUCCGGGUGGCUUCUCCCUCUUCACCCUUCAGGCCGUGGGUGGUAACGGCUCCCCACUGUGGCCAGCCCUGGGAUACUACACCAUCCCUCCCAGUCUCCCUGAAUCCUGCCUGCGUCUUUGGUAAUAGUCUCUUGAUUAAACCCUCUUCAAACUUCUCAACUUGAGCGUACCGUCUGUUUCCUGCCAAGGCCCUGCUCAUGGUUUUAGUGUGACAUGUAUCCUGUUGUAUUCGUCAAGGACUCCAGGUAGAAUACAAAACUUCACCCUGCUUUCACACGUACAUACGUAUCCACUUGAGUAACUUUGGCUGAGUAUCUGCUGUGCGCCAGGCCCCGUACAGGCAGCUGGGAGCAGAGAUAACCGAGCUAGAGCUCCUGACCCCAAGGAGUUCAUGGACUAGAUGGGGAGACAGACGCCUGAACAGACAACCACAAUAUUUGCUAAGAAGCCGUUAUAGAAGCGUGUUCAAACCCUGAGGCAAGAGAAACCCUCAAACUCUGAGGGAGGCUGGGAAGGCUGCAUAGCAGAGGGACCUCCUCAAAGAGACAGAGCGUGAGUCGGGGAGAGGCAGAGAGAGAGGGAGACA